GGCGACAUAGGGAAGUGGAUCAACCCAGACCUCUGCAACAGGUCAUCCGGCAGUUCGAAUCUGCCUGUCGCCU
rnacentral:tRNA from 1 species